rnacentral:lncRNA from 1 species
GUAUGCUUGGUUUCAACCACAUAUUUUCACGAAUAAACAAGCCUUUAGUGAACGCUUCUAGGGUGUGGAAAGGACGAUUUAUCUGCCAUCCUAUGGUACGGGCGAGAUACCAGUAAUGCGAUUUGAAAGUGCAAGAUUGGAGAUAUCAGAGUCAUGUUAGCUUGACCACCAAACCAAUAUGAGAAGGGAAAACCCAAUCUUGUGGCAGAAAGGAAAGUGACCCUAGGGUGUGUCGUGUGAUUAGGCCUUGUUUAGUUCGCAAAAAUUUCUAAGAUUUCCCGUCACAUCGAAUCUUUAGUCGCAUGCAUGAAGCAUUAAUUAUAGACGAAAAUAAAAACUAAUUACACAGUUUACCUGUAAUUUGUGAGAUGAAUCUUUUGAGCCUAGUUACUCCAUGAUUGGAUAAUGUUUAUCAAAUAAAAACAAAAGUGCUACAGUAGCCAAAACCCAAAAAUUUUGCAAACUAAGGCCUUGUUUAGUUCACAGAAGAUUUUGCAAAAUUUUUCACAUUCUCCGUCACAUCGAAUCUUUAGACGCAUAUAUGGAAUAUUAAAUAU